AUGACUUGUAUGAAGGAUUGGAUGAAAUAUAAACUGUCUCUUAAUUAUAUUUAGAAUUUAAUUUUUUAAUUAAAAAGUUAAAAUGAAUUAAAAAGACGAGAAGACCCUAUAGAGUUUUAUAAUUAAAUUAAUUGAGAUUUUUUGUAAGAUAAAAUUAAAAUUAAUUUAUUUAUUUUGUUGGGGUGACAGAAAAAUAUGGAGAACUUUUUUUAUAAUAUUACAUAAAUAAGUGGUUAAAUGAUCCAAUAUUAUUGAUUAUAAGAAAAAAUUACCUUAGGGAUAACAGCGUAAUUUUUUUUUUUAGUUCAUAUAAAAAAAAAAGUUUGCGACC
rnacentral:rRNA from 1 species